UCGAUUUGCUAGUCCAGGGUAUUGGGAAGAAGAGAGGCUUUGAGGCCGAUCUCAGCGACUAUCGCAACAACUAGCGGAGGCCGCCGUUCGCGAACACGGAGGAGAGAGAGAAGCGGAGGCUGGUUACGGCUAAAGAGAAGGAGGUGUGAGGAGGACGAUGUUGUGAUAGAGGGGUGUGAGGUGAGGACGAGGGAGAAUACUGGGUUAUUGAGCGUUUCGGUAAUUGUUUAUUGUGAUGACCUGUACUAAGCAAACUACUUGUAAGUCAACUUGAGGAAAGGCUUCAAGGAAGCAGCUCGCCACCAAGAGAGUCAGAGCCAAGUAGCUGCACAUUGAUAUUAUAAUGCAGCAGCGAACAAACGGGAUUAAAU